GACGAACGCUGGCGGCGUGCUUAACACAUGCAAGUCGAACGGAAAGGCCCUGCUUUUGUGGGGUGCUCGAGUGGCGAACGGGUGAGUAACACGUGAGUGACCUGCCCUUUACUUUGGGAUAACGUCAGGAAACUGGGGCUCAUACCGGAUAGGAGCUCCUGCUGCAUGGUGGGGGUUGGAAAGUUUCGGCGGUUGGGGAUGGACUCGCGGCUUAUCAGCUUGUUGGUGGGGUAGUGGCUUACCAAGGCUUUGACGGGUAGCCGGCCUGAGAGGGUGACCGGCCACAUUGGGACUGAGAUACGGCCCAGACUCCUACGGGAGGCAGCAGUGGGGAAUAUUGCACAAUGGGCGGAAGCCUGAUGCAGCAACGCCGCGUGCGGGAUGACGGCCUUCGGGUUGUAAACCGCUUUAGCCUGUGACGAAGCGUGAGUGACGGUAAUGGGUAAAGAAGCACCGGCUAACUACGUG
rnacentral:rRNA from 1 species